rnacentral:lncRNA from 1 species
GUUCUAUGCAGGCAGAUGAGUACCACAGCUGUAACUGAGGCACACGGCAAUAAACACAGUGGAGCCAAUUUCUACGAUGGCGAGAGAGGGGGCAUCAGAGUUGACAACAAUGACAAGGAUCCAAGGACCGUCCUUCUGACAAGUUUCAGAUUUGCAGCCUCAUGGAGCGAGUGACGGAGUGGGUUGCCAACUUGUAGUGACUCCACUCAGCAACGCAGAAUGGCUGCGGGAAAUGUGUAUUCAGAUAAGCCCAAAGAAGUCUGCCCAGGGUGAAACAAGUACCUUUGAAGUUUAAAUCAGGUGUGUGAAGAAUGCUGGAAACAUGACUUCUUAGGUUUUAGAUUUUUUUUUUUAUAUUUAUGUUUCUCAAGAAAACUGAUGACUCUUGCCUGUUCUCCUAGCUCUUUUAACGCUAAAGAACACACCCUAAAGUGUAACCCACCCUCUCUCCUAGGAUUCAGUAUGCUCUAUUCCACUGCCUGGAAGGGUCUUCUAUUUUAUCAGAACUUUUGAUUUUCAAGGCAUGAUUGUGAUUUUCAUAUUUAAAAAAAGGUUUUGAUUUUGGAGGUAUUUUUAAAUUGGGAAUUGAAGUUUGAUAGGCUUUACCAUUUGUCUAUUUUCUUAAAAUAGUAAGUAGUAAUUGUAACAUAUGUGUUAAUUGCAACAUACUUAAGAAAGUAACAAUCAAGUUGCAUUUUAAAACUAUAUGUUCAUGUUAUCCUUAAAAAGUUAAGUGGAUCAGAAAAAUCAAGCGAAGCUAAUAAGUUUUUUAGAAAGUGUAAACCACAUUUCCUUGCAGGAUGAAGUUGUGCUUAAUAGCCUUUUUAAUUUAUUCAGAAACUACACAACUUUUGUUGCUAUAUUUUGUUAGAAAGGAAGGAGAGGCUGUUUCUACAGGUGUCAGAGAAAAAUCGAUACUGAGCCAUGGAUUAUUGAAUCCCGUAGAACCAUGGAGGCUUGGCAGUGAAAUUCUUCCAAAGGCAGACGGUGUUCCUAGGUUUGGAAACAUAAAUCCCAGGGGAAGUGAGCUGAAGAACAUUUUAUGCAUCACUCAUCCUAUUAUGAGCCCUAUGCUGCUCCAUCUCUACAAGAUUGGCUGA